rnacentral:rRNA from 1 species
AUUGAACGCUGGCGUCAGGCCUAACACAUGCAAGUCGAACGAGUGGCGGACGGGUGAGUAAUGUCUGGGAAACUGCCUGAUGGAGGGGGAUAACUAAUGGAAACGGUAGCUAAUACCGCAUACCAUCAGAUGUGCCCAGAUGGGAUUAGCUAGUUGGUGGGGUAACGGCUCACCAAGGCGACGAUCCCUAGCUGGUAUGACCGGAUGACCGGACACACUGUAACUGAGACACAGUCCAUACUCCUACGGUAGGCAGCAGUGUGGAAUAUUGCACAAUGGGCGCAAGCCAGAUGCAGCCAUGCCGCGUGUUUGAAGAAGUUCUUCGGAUUUUAAAGCACGUUAAUUUGUGAGGGGUUACCAACAUCAUAAGCACCGGCUAACUUCGUGCCAGCAGCCGCGGUAAUAC